rnacentral:tRNA from 1 species
AGGGCUGUAGCUCAGUGAUAGAGCAUUUGCUUAGCAUGCAUGAGGUUGUGGGUUUGAGCCCCAGCACUG